UACGUAGGGUGCAAGCGUUAAUCGGAAUUACUGGGCGUAGAGCGUGCGCAGGCGGUUCGGAAAGAGAGGUGUGAAAUCCCAGGGCUUAACCUCGGAACUGCACUUCUAACUACCGGGCUAGAGUACGUCAGAGGGGGGUAGAAUUCCACGUGUAGCAGUGAAAUGCGUAGAGAUGUGGAGGAAUACCGAUGGCGAAGGCAGCCCCCUGGGAUGAUACUGACGCUCAUGCACGAAAGCGUGGGGAGCAAACGGG
rnacentral:rRNA from 1 species